UGACCUCAAAUCAGGUAGGACUACCCGCUGAACUUAAGCAUAUCAAUAAGCGGAGGAAAAGAAACUAACAAGGAUUCCCCUAGUAACUGCGAGUGAAGCGGGAAAAGCUCAAAUUUAAAAUCUGUCAGUCUUUGGCUGUCCGAGUUGUAAUCUAGAGAAGUGUUAUCUGCGUUGGACCGUGUACAAGUCUCCUGGGAUGGAGCGUCAUAGAGGGUGAGAAUCCCGUCUUUGACACGGACUACCAAGGCUUUGUGAUGCGCUCUCAAAGAGUCGAGUUGUUUGGGAAUGCAGCUCAAAAUGGGUGGUAAAUUCCAUCUAAAGCUAAAUAUUGGCGAGAGACCGAUAGCGAACAAGUACCGUGAGGGAAAGAUGAAAAGAACUUUGGAAAGAGAGUUAAACAGUACGUGAAAUUGCUGAAAGGGAAACGCUUGAAGUCAGUCGCGUUGUCCAGGGAUCAACCUUGCUUUUGCUUGGUGUACUUUCUGGUUAACGGGUCAACAUCAAUUUUGAUCAUUGGAAAAAAGUUAAGGGAAUGUGGCRUCUUUGGAUGUGUUAUAGCCUUUGAUUGUAUACAAUGGUUGGGGUUGAGGAACUCAGCACGCCGCAAGGCC
rnacentral:rRNA from 1 species